UAGGGAAUCUUCCACAAUGGACGCAAGUCUGAUGGAGCAACGCCGCGUGAGUGAAGAANNNCUUCGGCUCGUAAAGCUCUGUUGUUAGAGAAGAACACGUAUGAGAGUAACUGUUCAUACGAUGACGGUAUUUAACCAGAAAGUCACGGCUAACUACGUGCCAGCAGCCGCGGUAAUACGUAGGUGGCAAGCGUUGUCCGGAUUUAUUGGGCGUAAAGGGAACGCAGGCGGUUUUUUAAGUCUGAUGUGAAAGCCUUCGGCUUAACCGGAGAAGUGCAUCGGAAACUGGAUAACUUGAGUGCAGAAGAGGGUAGUGGAACUCCAUGUGUAGCGGUGGAAUGCGUAGAUAUAUGGAAGAACACCAGUGGCGAAGGCGGCUACCUGGUCUGCAACUGACGCUGAGGCUCGAAAGCAUGGGUAGCGAACAGGAUUAGAUACCCUGGUAGUCCAUGCCGUAAACGAUGAGUGCUAAGUGUUGGGAGGUUUCCGCCUCUCAGUGCUGCAGCUAACGCAUUAAGCACUCCGCCUGGGGAGUACGACCGCAAGGUUG
rnacentral:rRNA from 1 species